CUCAAAUAGUCAAGGCCUUCAGCAAGUCUCCCCCCCCCCCCCCACUCAGAAAAAAAAUUGCUGGCUACGGGCCUGUGUGUGACACGCAGCAUGAAACUCAUGCUAACGUAAUUGAGAAAGCCCUGGUUUGUGUAAUGUUGCUUAAGAGUCCUAAUUGCAGCGUAAUUUACUACGGUCACCAGUAGCGUUUGCUUACUUGCCUCCUCGGUGCGUCUCUUAGUAAACAGGUUGUAAAUGUUUAUAAAGGUAAGUUAUUUUUAAAGGGCGGUAUAAGACUAGCAAAGAAAAA
rnacentral:lncRNA from 1 species